UCCAAAUUACAGUUAGGCCUGUGAUAUACUGACUUUUAUUCCUCGGCUAUAAAACGGUACAUAAACACAUGAGAAGAGAUGGAGAUUAAACAUGAUAUUUUUUUCCAAUAUGUUAUAACCAAUUCCAGGCCAAGAAAGGAAUCGCUUCCAUUUUUUUUUUUAAUCUUAAAAUGAGCAAGUAGUUGUUGAAUUCUUAGUUCUAGAAUUGUGCAGGGCACAAUGGAGAAUACAAAAGCAAUCACAAUCAUGGUUCUCUACCCCAAGAAUUAGGCAAGAUAGGCACAUGAAAUUAUGAAAAGAGGAAGUGUACCUAAAAAUGAAAGAAAGAUCAGAGUGGGGAAAUAAUCAGCGACUGAAUGACAGAGAAGAUUGUGCUAGAAUGUCUGGAAGUCCGAGGUUAGUGCUGAUGGAGGGAAGGAGAGCCAAUGUGGAAGCCAGAAGCCCAGUGAGAAUCCGAGAGUUGGAGGGAGCUCUAAGGACCAUGUUAGUCUAAACGUUUCACUUCACAGCCGAGAGCCAGAACAGAUGAAGACAAAUGGAGAGGAGAAGGGAGGAGAAUAAGAUAGUUUCUUCACAUGAACCUUUGUGCUGGCCAACAUGGCAAUGCAAGUUUACACUUUGAACUUCCUCCUCUGUGCCAACUACUGCAAUGGUAGGUAGGUUUGUUUGUUUGUUUGUUUGUUUGUUUAUUU